CUGCAGCCACACUUGGAGUGAUUGAAAAGUUAAAUCAGAGGAGAAGGAGAAAGGACUCAGAGCAAAGCAGAGUCAUUGUUUACCUCCCGUGUUGGUUUUGAGAUGGUAUCGAGCUGCAGAGCAGGAACUCAAACAGCAGGGACUGACUUUGAUCAAACACAUCCUUCCUUCCCUCCUGCACCUGGGAGGAGCUCCUGCAGCCCGGCAUCCCCCGAGAGGGACAGGGCACUGCCACCCUGGGGUGAGGGACAGGGCACUGCCAGCCUGGAGAGAGGGACAGGGGCACUGCCAGCCUGGGGAGAGGGACAGGGCACUGCCAGCCUGGGGUGAGGGACAGGGCACUGCCACCCUGGGGUGAGGGACAGGGCACUGCCAGCCUGGGGUGAGGGACAGGGGCACUGCCAGCCUGGGGAGAGGGACAGGGGCACUGCCAGCCUGGGGUGAGGGACAGGGCACUGCCAGCCUGGGGUGAGGGACAGGGGCACUGCCAGCCUGGGGUGAGGGACAGGGGCACUGCCAGCCUGGGGAGAGGGACAGGGCACUGCCAGCCUGGGGUGAGGGACAGGGCACUGCCAGCCUGGAGAGAGGAACAGGGGCACUGCCAGCCUAGGGUGAGGGACAGGGCACUGCCAGCCUGGGGUGAGGGACAGGGGCACUGCCAGCCUGGGGAGAGGGACAGGGCACUGCCAGCCUGGGGUGAGGGACAGGGCACUGCCAGCCUGGGGUGAGGGACAGGGCACUGCCACCCUGGGGUGAGGGACAGGGCACUGCCAGCCUGGGGUGAGGGACAGGGCACUGCCAGCCUGGGGUGAGGGACAGGGGCACUGCCAGCCUGGGGAGAGGGACAGGGCACUGCCAGCCUGGGGUGAGGGACAGGGGCACUGCCAGCCUGGGGUGAGGGACAGGGGCACUGCCAGCCUGGGGUGAGGGACAGGGGCACUGCCAGCCCUGCAGAGGUGCCAAGAGAAUUCCCUGCUCUCCUCGGGAUCCCACCACAGCUGGAAUACAAGAGGAGCUGGGAUCAGAAUGAAACAGGGUGGACACUGGGCUGCUCACAGAGGAGCAGCCAGAGCCUGGAGUUUUCCAGAAAAAUCCGAGUUUCAGCACAGAAAGUGCUCCCCCAGGCCUCACCUAAAGGUACAGAGCUGGCACCAGGCCAGGAAAACUUCUGAGCCAGGGAGGGAACUGAAUUCCCUGGGGAAAACUGAAUUCCUGGGGGAAACUGAAUUCCCUUGGAGGAAACUGAAUUCCCUGGAGGGAACUGAACAUCCUGGAGGAAUCUGAAUUCCCUAGAGGGAACUAAAUUCCCUGGGGGAAACUGAACAUCCUGGAGGAAUCUGAAUUCCUUGGAGGAAACUGAAUUCCCUGGAGAGAGCUGAAUUCCCUUGGAGGGAACUGAAUUCCCUGAAGGAAUCUGAAUUCUCUAGGGGAAACUCAAUUUCCUGGAGGAAGCAGAAUUCCCUUGGAGGGAACUGAAUUUUCUGAGGAAAACUGAAUUCCUUGGAGGGAACUGAAUUCCCUUGGAGGGAACUGAACAUCCUGGAGGAAUCUGAAUUCCCUUGGAGGAAUCUGAAUUCCCUUGGAGGAAGCAGAAUUCCCUUGGAGGAAGCAGAAUUCCCUUGAGGGAACUGAAUUCCCUUGGAGGAAACUGAACAUCCUGGAGGAAGCAGAAUUCCUUGGGGGAAACUGAAUUCCCUCCCUGACCUGACACCCUGAACCCACCUUGAGCAACCCCACAGCACAACCUGCCCAGGAGGAUUUCUCCCGGCUAAAGCAGCUCCAGGCAGGCGGGGAGCCCGGGCUGGCAGAGUGCAGGGCUGUCCAGGACAUAGAAUCUGCUCCCCUUUUCCUCUGGGAUUGUCCAGGACAUCGAAUCACCUCCCCUUCUCCCCAGGGCUGUCCAGGACAUGGAACCUGCUCCCCUUUUCCUCUGGGACUAUCCAGGACAUGGAAUAUGCUCCCCUUCUCCCCAGGGCUGGCCAGGGCAUGGAAUCAUCUCCCCUUUUCCCCUGGGAUUGUCCAGGACAUGGAAUCAGCUCCCCUGGGACUCUUCAGGACAUGGAAUCUUCUCCCCUUUUCCUUUGGGAUUGUCCAGGAAUGGAAUCAGCUCCCCUUUUCCUCUGGGACUGUCCAGGACAUGGAACCUGUUCCCCUUUUCCUUUGGGAUUGCCCAGGACACAGAAUCAGCUCCCCUUUUUUCCAGGGCUGUCCAGGACUUGGAAUCAGCUCCCCUUCACCUGGAAUAGAAAUUUCUUUCCCCCAGAACUCCCCUUCACAUGGAAUCUGCUCCCCUUUUCCUUUGGGACUCUCCAGGACAUGGAAUCUGCUCCCCUUUUCCCCAGGAACCCACAGCAGCAGAGCACUGCUUUGUAUAAAACCGAGCCCAGCUUUUGUAGGAGGCAAAAAUAAAUGAAAAAUAAAUAAAUAAAACUUUGUAUCCUU